UACGUAGGGUGCAAGCGUUAAUCGGAAUUACUGGGCGUAAAGCGUGCGCAGGCGGUGAUGUAAGACAGAUGUGAAAUCCCCGGGCUCAACCUGGGAACUGCAUUUGUGACUGCAUCGCUGGAGUGCGGCAGAGGGGGAUGGAAUUCCGCGUGUAGCGGUGAAAUGCGUAGAUAUGCGGAGGAACACCGAUGGCGAAGGCAAUCCCCUGGGCCUGCACUGACGCUCAUGCACGAAAGCGUGGGGAGCAAACAGG
rnacentral:rRNA from 1 species